rnacentral:rRNA from 1 species
CCUACGGGUGGCAGCAGUAGGGAAUUUUCGUCAAUGGGCGCAAGCCUGAACGAGCGAUGCCGCGUGAGUGAAGAAGGCCUUCGGGUCGUAAAGCUCUGUUGCGGGGGAAAAAAGUCAGCAUCAGGAAAUGAGUGCUGACUGCUGGUGCCCCGCCAGAAAGUCACGGCUAACUACGUGCCAGCAGCCGCGGUGAUACGUAGGGGGGGAGCGUUAGCCGGAAUGGUUGGGCGAAAAGGGUGCGCAGGCGGUUCUGCAAGUCUGGGGUGAAACGCAUGAGCUCAACUCAUGCAUUGCUUUGGAAACUGGAGGACUGGAGAGCAGGAGAGGGCGGUGGAACUCCAUGUGUAGCGGUAAAAUGCGUAGAUAUAUGGAAGAACACCAGUGGCGAAGGCGGCCGCCUGGCCUGUUGAUGACGCUGAGGCACGAAAGCGUGGGGAGCAAAUAGGAUUAGAUACCCUUGUAGUC